GCCUGGGUGGCUCAGUCGGUUAAGCGUCCGACUUCGGCUCAGGUCACGAUCUCGUGGUUUGUGGGUUCGAGCCCCGCGUCGGGCU
rnacentral:tRNA from 1 species